AUUGAACGCUGGCGGCAGGCUUAACACAUGCAAGUCGAGCGGUAGCACAGGGGAGCUUGCUCCCUGGGUGACGAGCGGCGGACGGGUGAGUAAUGUCUGGGAAACUGCCUGAUGGAGGGGGAUAACUACUGGAAACGGUAGCUAAUACCGCAUAACGUCGCAAGACCAAAGAGGGGGACCUUCGGGCCUCUUGCCAUCAGAUGUGCCCAGAUGGGAUUAGCUAGUAGGUGGGGUAAUGGCUCACCUAGGCGACGAUCCCUAGCUGGUCUGAGAGGAUGACCAGCCACACUGGAACUGAGACACGGUCCAGACUCCUACGGGAGGCAGCAGUGGGGAAUAUUGCACCAUGGGCGCAAGCCUGAUGCAGCCAUGCCGCGUGUGUGAAGAAGGCCUUCGGGUUGUAAAGCACUUUCAGCGAGGAGGAAGGUGGUGAGCUUAAUACGUUCAUCAAUUGACGUUACUCGCAGAAGAAGCACCGGCUAACUCCGUG
rnacentral:rRNA from 1 species